rnacentral:tRNA from 1 species
AGGGGCGUCGCCAAGCGGCAAGGCACUUGGUUUUGAUCCAAGCAUUCGUAGGUUCGAAUCCUGCCGCCCCUGCCA